rnacentral:rRNA from 1 species
UACGUAGGGGGCAAGCGUUGUCCGGAAUCACUGGGCGUAAAGCGCGCGCAGGCGGCGAUCUACGUCCGGGGUGAAAGCCCAGAGCUCAACUCUGGGACUGCCUUGGAUACGGGAUCGCUUGAGGAUCGGAGAGGCAAGGGGAAUUCCACGUGUAGCGGUGAAAUGCGUAGAGAUGUGGAGGAACACCUGUGGCGAAGGCGCCUUGCUGGCCGAUUUCUGACGCUGAGGCGCGAAAGGCGUGGGGAGCAAACAGG